GUCCGGUGGCUACCGGAACCACUGUCGGGGAUACCGGCGCUUGGCUCAGUCACUUCUCCUUAGUUACGGGCUGAGUUCGAGUUAUGGCAUGUCACGGUUAGAGUUGUUGUUGCUGUUACGAGUAGUUGGGGCUGAGGUUGCCUCCGUCGCCAGAGCUGUGCCGGGGCCGGUUCGAAACCGCAGCUGCUUCGUGUUGUUAUUCCGAGCUGUUUAUGCUGCUGCGAAAAUGUGUGGGGCUGUGCUUUGAAGCUGCCUUUGAUUUUGAGUUGAGGUGAAAAGAACUUAUGAGGCGCUUGGAUUAUGGAAUUGUGUUUUGAGGUAGGGGCGCUUUCCAAAAACUAUAGUUAAUUAUUGGAAUUAUUACAUAUGGGUACUGAUGUGAGAUAUUGUGUAUUUGGUGAUUG